rnacentral:tRNA from 1 species
GCCACUAUGGCUCAGUCGGUAGAGCAACUGAUUCGUAAUCAGUAGGUCAGCGGUUCGAUUCCGCUUAGUGGCUCCA